AAAGGACUGCGUCAUGGAGACUAGGAAGAACCACUCGGUGUCGGUGACUUCCUCUUCGACAUCGUCGGAGGGGGCGGCGGCGGAGCCGGAAAUCAGGGAAUUGAGCUCGCGGAGGACCUUUUUACGGUGAUCCUGCUCGGCGGGGGUGGUGGUUUUGGUGGAUUUGGCCUUUCCCUUGUCUUCAUCACCCUUGUAAUAGCCGUCGCCCCAGCCGAGGACGGCGGUGGAGGCGGAGGAGGGGUAGUCAUAGGAAGACUGCCAGAAAAUAGCAUAUGUCCAGCUCUCCCUAGCCCCUUCGAUGAGAGCCUGGAGGCGCUGCUGGAGGGUGUCCUGAUUAAAUACGGCGGCAGAGGAGGCGGAUUGAGGGGGAGGAGGUGGCGGAGGCCAGAGGGAAGAGAGGUCGGAGGAGGUCAUGAAGGCCUCCAUAACGGAGGAGUUGUCGUCUGUCCAGAGGUUCAUUCUCUGCCCAUUCAGCAAAUUCUGUAUUUAUUAUCUUUCUUUUCCUUGUUUGGAUUAUUGAAGAUAGAGAAGGAGAGAAGGUUGCAGUGUGAGUGUAAAAGAUGUGAGAGACACAGAGAGAUAG
rnacentral:lncRNA from 1 species